UACGAAGGGGGCUAGCGUUGCUCGGAAUGACUGGGCGUAAAGGGCGCGUAGGCGGUGCGGUAAGUCUGCAGUGAAAUCUCUGGGCUCAACUCAGAGUCUGCUGUGGAAACUGCCGUGCUUGAGUGUGGGAGAGGUGAGUGGAAUUCCCGGUGUAGCGGUGAAAUGCGCAGAUAUCAGGAAGAACACCCGUGGCGAAGGCGGCUCUCUGGGACGGUACUGACGCUGAGACGCGAAAGCGUGGGGAGCGAACAGG
rnacentral:rRNA from 1 species